AAUGCUCUUUUCUCCAGUAGGUGUCACUGGCGCCGCAAUCUCGCCAUGCCGCUCGCCACGCUGCUCGGCCACCUCGCCGCCGGCCGCUUCGGCCGCGUCCAGGCGCUCACGGGCGCCGCCACGGCCGCGGCAGCGCACCGCCUGCUCGGCCUCCUCCUCCGCACCGAGCCGCUGCCUCCCCUCCCGUACCUCGUCUCCUUCACGCGGUGGUCGCGCGCCCACUUCCGCGCGCCGCUCCCGCUCCGUCUACACGGGCUCCUCCUCGCCGGCCUCGCCUCCCAGGGGCAUUACAGCCUCCUCCGCUCCGAGCUCCACACUCUCGCCGCCGCGCGCCUCCACUCCCACGCAUCCAUCCUGCGCUCCCUCCCCUCCUCCCCCUCUGCGUCGGCCGCAUCCGCGCCGCUCAUCGCCGACAUGUUCAUCCUCGCCCUCGCCAGAGCCUCCCGCCCCCUCAGGGCCUACGACGCGUUCCUCCUCUCCGAGACGAGCCACCCGCGGCACCGCCCGUCCACCAUCUCCGUUAACGCCCUGCUCGCUGCUCUCGUCGGCGCCAAUCGGGUCGACCUCGCCGAGAAGGCCUUCAGGAGCGCGCUGCGGCGGCGCGCGUCACCGGACAUCUACACCUUCAACACCGUCAUCUCUGGCCUCUGCAGGGUCGGCCAGCUCCGCAAAGCCCGCGAUUGCGCUAGGGAGAUCAGGUUAUGGGGUCUAGCUCCUUCCGUGGCCACCUACAAUAGCCUAAUCGAUGGAUUCUGCAAGAGGGGUGGAGCUGGGAACAUGUACCAUGUAGAUAUGCUAUUGAAGGAGAUGGUCGAAGCUGGGAUCUCGCCAAGUGCGGUUACAUUUGGCGUGCUGACUAAUGCAUAUUGCAGGAACUCGAACAUUGCUGCUGCGGUGAGAGUCUUCGAGGAGAUGAAGCAGCAGGGGAUUGCUGCGAGUGCUGCGAUAUAUAAUGUGCUGAUUUCAGGUCUCUGCGGCGAGGGGAGGGUAGAGGAAGGGCUGAAGAUGAUGAAGGAGAUGGAGGAUUUGGGGCUGCCACCCAAUGAGAUCACCUUUGGCCGUGUUCUGAAUGGGUUCUGUAAGAAGGGCAUGGUGGCAAAUGCCAAGGAUUGGAUUGAUGGUAUGGUAGAGAGAAAUGUGCAACCUAGUGUAGUUACUUACAAUAUGUUGAUCGGUGGGUAUCGCCGGCUUGGAAAGAUGGAGGAUGCAAUGGCGGUGAAGGAGGCAAUGGCAAAAAAGGGGAUCAGUCCAAACGUCAGAACAUAUAAUUGCCUGAUAACAGGGUUUAGCCGUAAUGGGGAUUGGAGGAGUGCUUCUGGCCUUCGGGAUGAGAUGAAGGAGAAAGGUAUUGAAGCAGAUGUCGUCACUUACAAUGUGCUUAUUGGUGCGUUGUGUGGCAAAGGUGAGGUGCCAAAAGCUGUAAAGCUCUUGGAUGAAAUGCUGAAAGUUGGAUUGGAGCCGAACCAUCUGACAUACAACACCAUAAUACAGGGGUUCUGUGACAAGGGUAACAUUAAAGCUGCCUACGAAAUUAGAACUAGGAUGGAAAAAUUUCGGAAACGGGCAAAUGUGGUUACGUACAAUGUGUUGAUCAAGUAUUUCUGCAGCUUGGGGAAGAUGGAGCAAGCUGAUGAUCUCAUCAAUGAGAUGUUGGAUAAAGGGCUAGUUCCAAACACGAUCACAUAUGAAACGAUCAAGGAGAAGAUGAUGGAAAAAGGUUAUGUACCAGAUAUUAGAGGAUGCACUGUCUCACAAGCUUCUCAAAACCCAUCAUCCUGAGAAGUAUGAAAUCCUUUUCCUUCAUCAAUCAUGCAUUUGGCAUUGGGAGUGAAUGAAGCAGCAAAGCGGGCAAACUUGAGAACCUGAUUGUGCUUGCGAUGGAUAUUGUCAGCUAAUUUUUCGUUUUCCAAACAUGGUCUGGUCCUGCUAUUCCGGCCAAUUGAGCGUCUAGGUGUAUUGCCGAGGCCUUGGCGAUGUGAGAUGGUGUUCUUUCACGCAAGCAUGGCUUUGACAAGUUGAUUAUUGAAUCCGACUGCACUUGCACCGUCGAGGUAAAUGUAUCGAUUGUGUUCUUGGACGAAUCAGUGUACUUCCUCUGCAGUAAUAGCUUCAACGUCAUCAGCUUAGACGUCGCCGACGAGACGUUCGGCUUAGCGUCGCGACAAGGAGGCCGACGUCCGCGUCAACCUACGGAGCUCGAUGGAUGCAUAUGCGCGUACUAUCAGGAGGUUUACAGAGGCAACGUCGUGUCCCACGUAUGGCUGCUAUUAUGACGACAUGGCAACAUCGAGCAAGCAACGCAGGCCCUGUUUAUUUCUCAAAAAUUUUCGCUUAAAAACAUUACAUUAAAUUUUGGAUACCUAAAUAGAGUAUUAAAUAUAGAUAA